rnacentral:rRNA from 1 species
AUAUCAGUCAUGCAUAGCAUAUCAAUAAGCGGAGGAAAAGAAACUAACAAGGAUUCCCUUAGUAACGGCGAGUGAAGCGGGAAGAGCUCAAAUUUGAAAUCUUCAAGGUUUUACCUUGACGAAUUGUAGUUUAAAGAAGUGUUUUCUGUUGAAGUUUUGGUAAAAGUUCUUUGGAAUAGGACAUCAUAGAGGGUGAGAAUCCCGUAUUUGACCAUUACUUUCAGCUUUGUGAUACACUUUCAAAGAGUCGGAUUGUUUGGGAAUGCAGUCCAAAAUGGGUGGUAAAUUUCAUCUAAAGCUAAAUAUUGGCGAGAGACCGAUAGCGAACAAGUACCGUGAGGGAAAGAUGAAAAGAACUUUGAAAAGAGAGUUAAACAGUACGUGAAAUUGUCAAAAGGGAAGCGUUUGACACCAGUGUUGUUUUCUCGAAAAUCAAUUAAAAAGAGUUGGAUUUUGUGUUGUAUUGACUUUAUCAGCUUUCUUCACUCUUUUCCAGCUUUUUUUAAUGCACUUUUCGUUUAACAAGUCAACAUCAGUUUCUUUUGUUGUAAAAAGGUCAGUGGAAGGUGGCUUUCUCUUCGGAGAAAGUGUUUAUAGCCUUUGACUCAUGCAAUCGGAGAGACUGAGGUCUGCAGCGUAGAUCCUUCGGGGUUAGAUACAUUUGUGCUAAGUUAUAGCUUUUCAUAGACAACUUGUUGACUAUGUUUAGUCUUGUAGCUUACUCGCUUAUGCCUAUUUUACCUACGCUUAGGAUGUUGAACUCUAUCACACACAG